rnacentral:rRNA from 1 species
AGAGAUAAUUGCUAAAACUCUAUAUGCCGUUUGGUGAAAAAAGAAAUUUGUCUAAAGAGGAGCUUGCGUCUGAUUAGCUAGUUGGUGGGGUAAAGGCCUACCAAGGCGACGAUCAGUAGUUGGUCUGAGAGGACGACCAGCCACAUUGGAACUGAGACACGGUCCAGACUCCUACGGGAGGCAGCAGUGAGGAAUUUUCCGCAAUGGGCGAAAGCCUGACGGAGCAAUACCGCGUGAGGGAUGACGGCCUAUGGGUUGUAAACCUCUUUUCUCAAGGAGGAAGAUAUGACGUUACUUGAGGAAUAAGCAUCG